rnacentral:sRNA from 1 species
CAUUUUCCUCUGAUGACACAUCCAGUGGACAGAUUGUGAAAAUCUCAGCAGGUGUGCGGUGUCCUUGUCUCAUCAAGCACCAUCCCAGCACGUGCCCCCUUGUUUCUGUGCAGGUGUGUGUAACUGGUGUGUGCACCGUUUCGACCAUCACUGUGUUUGGGUGAACAACUGCAUCGGGGCCUGGAACAUCAGGUACUUCCUCAUCUACCUCUUGACCUUGACGGCCUCGGCUGCCACCGUCGCCAUUGUGAGCACCACUUUUCUGGUCCACUUGGUGGUGAUGUCAGAUCUAUACCAGGAGACUUACAUCGAUGACCUUGGACACCUCCGUGUUAUGGACACGGUCUUUCUUAUUCAGUACCUGUUCCUGACUUUUCCACGGAUUGUCUUCAUGCUGGGCUUUGUCGUGGUCCUGAGCUUCCUCCUGGGUGGCUACCUGUUGUUUGUCCUGUAUCUGGCGGCCACCAACCAGACUACUAACGAGUGGUACAGAGGUGACUGGGCCUGGUGCCAGCGUUGUCCCCUUGUGGCCUGGCCUCCAUCAGCAGAGCCCCAAGUCCACCGGAACAUUCACUCCCACGGGCUUCGGAGCAACCUUCAAGAGAUCUUUCUACCUGCCUUUCCAUGUCAUGAGAGGAAGAAACAAGAAUGACAAGUGUGUGACUGCCUUUGAGCUGUAGUUCCCGUUUAUUUACACAUGUGGAUCCUCGUUUUCCAA